ensembl:lncRNA
ACACCACUGAGCAAAUUUCACUUUCACCAAUUAAACGAUCCUUUCUGUUGCCCGUGAUGUUGGUGGGCCCGCGCUCAUUUGGGGCUUGCAUCUUACCAAUGGUUGUUCUAGCAGUCCGGUCUUGCACCUUGCAGCUUGUGGGAUCUUAGUUCCCUGAGCACAGAUUUCUACUUAGGCAGCUGGAAGAUCAUUGGAUUUCUCCAGCCGGGUGCACUUGAGCGCUGGAGGAGAAGAGACGAGCUCUGGCCUCAUCUCAGCGGUAGCAGUGUGUUCCCGAAGCUGAACAAGCUCAGGCCAGCUUCCGUCCACCCUCAGACACCAGCACCAGAUCUAGAAGAGAACAUUUACAGCUAUUGCGGGACUCCAACAAAACGCUUUUCCUGGAUGCAGACAUUCGUAAUACUGCUCACUCUCAGUCCAAGCUCUGGCUUGUACACGUGGUCACGAUGCCCUUCGUACAGCAGAGGCGAGCACGACAGUGCCCGGGAAGUACCUGGACAGCACACAGCAAGACCAAAGGCUGAACUCCCCCCGCCCAGGACCCUGUUUAAAAAAAGUCUAUUACAAAGUCAAGUGUUCCGUUUAUUCUGCUUUAUAGUCAGCGAUGCUGGAGGGUGUCUAGAGGAAUCGGUCCUCCAGGGAUGAGUGCAAAAGGGGAGCCCGUGGCUCGGGGACGUCCCUUCGCUGAGCACACGGAGGGGCCAGCCGGAGGCCUCCCAUCCGCGUCGGACAAACACGCACAUACAGAAAAGGAUUACUGCCAGCUUGGGUACUCUCACAAGGCGAUUUCUGUAUUUCAAAAGCUUGACUUGUCCCUGAAAGGAAAAAAUGGGAGAAAAGAAAGCAUGCAAUACACAAAGAAGCAAG